AUUAGUGGCGGACGGGUGAGUAACGCGUGAGUAACCUGCCUUGUACAAGGGGAUAGCCGUUGGAAACGACGAAUAAUACCCUAUGACAUCAAAUAAUCGCAUGAUAAUUUGAUCAAAGAUUUAUCGGUAUAAGAUGGACUCGCGUCUGAUUAGCUAGUUGGUGGGGUAACUGCUCACCAAGGCAACGAUCAGUAGCCGGCUUGAGAGAGUGUACGGCCACAUUGGGACUGAGACACGGCCCAGACUCC
rnacentral:rRNA from 1 species